rnacentral:lncRNA from 1 species
GCAGAGUUGAAAAUGCAGGUGAGGUGGUGAGAGCAGAAGGCUCUUAUAGGGAGAUGCCUCCUUGCGGAGAAAUGCUGAGACAGUGCAGAGUUAAAAAGACUUUGGAUAGGGCGUGAAUUUGGACACAAGCAUCAUUUGCAUGGUUCAGCUCUGCUGAGGCUUCCCCAGCCUUAAGAUUGUGGGGUGGACACGCCGUGGGUCAGGUGGUCUGCUGCAGUAGGCUGCGUUUUAUUACCAAGUUCUUCCUUUGCACAAGUAAAAUGAAAAGUUUUCAACAGUUGGGUAGCCCUAGGGCAGGUGAAACCUGCCUGGGUUCUUCUUCCCAAGGAAGGGGUUCAGGGACUGAAACUUGCUGAAUUUCAUGGAGUGGGGAACCCAAUAGGGAAGAAUUGGGAACCCAGGGUCUGCGAGAAUCAGCCAAGCCUGGGAUCCACCAAGCUGUUUUCUUAGUCAUGGUCCAGGAAAUCCUAUAUCAACCCCAUUCUUUUUGGAGAUAGUGGAAUCCUUCAGCGUUUAGACAGCGACCUAGGUAGUGAACAGUGUCUAGAGGUGAUUGUCAUUUUCCCCUAGAGACUUUGUGUCCCUUUGCAGCGCACCAUUGGAGCAAAUACAUGGAGGCUUUUGUGGACGCCUCUUGGGUAGCUGAGCUCAGCAGCGGGUUGGGUCUUUGGCAUAUUGUGAAAGGGUCGCUUUCCCAGGAACUGGAGGGUGCUCAUGUCUUGACAGAGCCUUUGGGGCCUCAGCGAGCCCACGGGGCAGGCAUGCAUGUAUCGCUGGUUGUUCCAAGUCAGGGCAGUGGGAGAUUGGCUGGUGGGGUCUAAGGGAUGCUGAGAAAGGCGGGACAGGGGUCCAUGGUGUGAAGCAUUUCAAGUCAGGUGGAAUCUUCGACAGAGGGUGUUGGGCUCAGAACACCUGGAAGAGGGUUAACUGUGGCUGACCCUUGACCAUCAUGACCAGCAUGGGUCCACUUAGGUAUGGAUUUCAUUUUCAAUAAAUAGUACUAUGGUGCUAUGCACUCAGAGCUUGGUGGCAUCUGGGGAGGUGGAACCACAGAUAUAUGGGGGUCAGACUGUAAAUUACAUGCACAUUUCAGCUGCAUGGUGGUUGGCACCAUACUAAUGCCCAUGGUGUUCAAGGGUCACCUGUAUCCUACUAGUAGCUCUUGGGCCCUGGACUGAUCACCACUGCCAUCAUUAAGUUUCCAGACCAGCGGGACGAGCAAGCUGCAGGGCUGGUGCAGGGAGGGAUGGGCUCCUGGGCCCCAGUCCCCUGCUUUCAUUGUGGGGCUUGGGUGGCCUCAGACUUUGAUGGAUGGUGAGGUGACCUGGGGAGAGUUGAAGCAUCUCCUGGAAGCUUUAGAGGGGCCACACUUUUAAUUCUUUCAAUGCUAGUCAUUACAAGUAACCUGCACAUGCUUGGCUGUGUCAACUAAACUCGGGGCGUUGUGUUCAACUUCUUUGUCCUCUGUGACCAGGACAGACUACAAGGACCAUGAAAGAUCCGUUUGAGGUUGGUCUGGAAAUCCUAAAACGAGGUCUCUUUGGGAAGCCAAACCUAUUGACCUUUUUAAUUUGCAAAGGAGAUCUUUGCCUAGAAGGUUGGAGGCUGGGUCACGUAGCGCAAAGGAAUGUUUUUCAGUGAAAUGCCCAAGACUCAUGUCUACCAGUUGAGAUCAAAAUUCUCUCUUAACUUUACUAGAUAGCCCCACUAUGAAAAUCCCCUUUUACUCUGAGGGUUCUCUUGGCCUGUGAAGGUGGCCAAGUAGAAAAUGCAGCUCUGGUAUCAACAAAAAUUUGCCUUAAGUUUCCCAUUAAUUUUAUUUUAUUUUAUUUUUUGUCUUUCUGUCUUUUCUAAUCCCGCAUUGCUGUGGCUCUGGCGUAGGCCAGUGGCUACAGCUCCGACUGGACCCUUAGCCUGGGAACUUCCAUAUGCUGCGGGAGCAGUCAAAGAAAAUGGCAAAAAGACAAAAAAAAAAAAAAAAAAAAA